rnacentral:rRNA from 1 species
CCUACGGGAGGCAGCAGUGAGGAAUAUUGGUCAAUGGACGGAAGUCUGAACCAGCCAUGCCGCGUGCAGGAAGACGGCUCUAUGAGUUGUAAACUGCUUUUGUACAAGGGUAAACCUGAAUACGUGUAUUCAGCUGAAAGUACUGUACGAAUAAGGAUCGGCUAACUCCGUUCCAUCAGCCGCGGUAAUACGGAGGAUCCAAUCGUUCUCCGGAUUUAUUGGGUUUAACGGGUGCGUAGGCGGAUUGAUAAGUUAGUUGUGAAAUGUCCGAGCUUAACUCGGGAAUUGCCUCUAAUACUGUUGAUCUAGAGAGUAGAUGCGGUAGGCGGAAUGUAUGGUGUAGCGGUGAAAUGCUUAGAGAUCAUACAGAACACCGAUUGCGAAGGCAGCUUACCAAUCUAUAUCUGACGUUGAGGCACGAAAGCGUGGGGAGUAAACAGGAUUAGAUACCCGGGUAGUC